GAGCUCAUGGCACAGUUUGGUGGGGCUUGUUGUUUGUUUGUUUGUUUGAUUGAUUGAUUGAAUGAUUUUAUUUAUAUUUGUUUUUAAUUUUGUAUAUAUAUAUAUAUAUAUAUUUGUUUCUCUCUUUCUCUAUGUACAAGGCUGUGGUGGCCUGGCUGGAUCAUGGGCAGGCUGGAGCCAUGUCCCUUUGUACAGAGAGAGCUGCAUGUCACUUGCCUCUAUUGUUCCAUCAGUUUAGACAUCUGGUGGUACUGGCUCCCUUGCCCUCCCUGCAUUUGAACCCACAAAGCUUAUUUUCACUGUUCCUGGUAUUGUUCUCAAAUAAAUAAAUAAAUAAAUAAAACACACACACACAUAAACAAGCAAAGAAAAGCAUGGUAUCUGGUACAACUUAGACCAAGAGAUGUUGUAGUUGAAAGACACUGCUGGCAGUACCUCAUGCCUCACUCUCCUCUCUCUCUCACUCUCUCAACCAAAAAAAGAAAACUUACUCUGCUACUACAGACCCAUGUGAUUUUUCAAAAAAAGAAAACUAAAAAAUAAUACAAGAAUUUUGAAAAAUAAAUAAAUGAGUAGGUGGGUUGAUAAGAAAAUAUCACAACUUAUUUUUCUUGUCUCUCAUGUUCUUACUCUUUUCUACCUUCUUUUUAGUUUUUUAUUCUAUUUUAUUUAUUUAUAUGUAAACCCUGGUGCUACUAAAUUGUGUGAGUUCAUUUCCACUGGAUCUAAGAGUAGAGCUGUGUCUGCAACACAGUACUCUCUCUUGCUCUCUACACUCUACUCAGUUCACACUCAAAUCACCGCAUGUACCACAUGUUUGCAAUAUACCUGCAGUUGAGUUGAAGUCCUACAUAUGCGGCCACACUCUUGUGUAGUCUACUAUUACAACAAUCCCCAUUGACAGGCAUUGUAACUUAGUCCUGUCUGUCAUACAGUAUGCCUCAAACAUAUGUAGUGACUAACUGUAUGUCCUGAGCAUACUGUUUGAGGCAUACAGUUUUGUGGGAGGAAGAAAAUAAAAUUUUCAAAAAAGAAACAUACAGCAGUUUGAAAUAAUUCCCAGUACAGCUUUUUCUUCUUCUUCUUCAUCUUCUUCUGUGGAAGUUGUGGAUUUUUAAGUUUUUGCUUGUGUGUUUGUGAGUGAGUGAGUGUGAAAAGACAGCUCAAUCAGGUCCUUUUGUUUGACUUGGGACAUCACAUAUCUGCUCUAAAAGAGAGCUAUCAUAUGUGAGGUUGAAUCAUCUCUUUUUUUUUUUUCAUUUUUUUUUUUAUUUUACUUAUCAGAGCAUCAUGCAGUCAAACCUGUAUUGACUCUGAGCCCUGCAGGCCCUGUCUGGUCCCCCCCCCCCACAAUGGAUUUCAUAUUUUAAAUACAGAUGAUUGUUUAUGAAAAAAAAACAAAAAAACAAAAAAACAAAAAAACAAAAAAACAAAAAAACAAAAAAACAAAAAAACAAAAAACAAAAAAAAACAAAAACAAAAACAAUAAUUGUAUGGCUUCUCUUGCUCAACAAACAUCAUGUAACCACUCCCAGGUCAUUUUGGUCUAAUAUGAUUGUGAAUUUUAUUAUGAUUAUUAUUAUUUACUUAUUAUUAUUGUUAGAAUUACUUUGACUCUACUCCACCCUAUGCACAUGAUGUCCUCUAAUGUGGAUGUAGAAGGAAGAGAGUCAAUUUGUGUAAGAGGUAAUGAUAGGGCUAGUUAUUGACCUGGCCCUGGUUUUGCAGGAUGGAGUCUCAGUAGGGCUCUGUUGGGCACCAUGUGCAAUUUAAGACACCAAAAACAAAUUCAUGCUAUCUAUGGAUUUUUCAUGUUUGGUUCUUGUCCAAACUCUCACAUGUAAUGUCUGUUUUUUUCUAGAAGAUUGAGGUAUUGUCAUCAAUCAUGCGCAAAAAACUGAAUUUGUACAAUACUCUUCAAUUUGGAUACUAUUUUUGAAUGAUUUUAUCUUGGUAUGAAUUGAAGGAUAGUAUAAAAAACAGAAAAAAUUAAGAGUAAUUGUUUGAAAUUGUGUCAAGUUUGUUGAGGAAACACCCUUAUACAAAAAUACAAAAAUACACAAGUAUUCAGGUUUCAUUCAUCUUAAGUAUCACACCCUUCUUAUGUAAAUAAAUAAAUUUUCUUGUUAGGGAUUUAAAUUUGAAUACAUAUAUUUAAUUUUUCUUUCAAUUUAAUAAAAUUCAAUUAAAUCACACCUCUUCAAGAACCCAAACCAGUUCACUAAACCUUCUACAUCUCAAAAACAUUCAUAAAUGGAUCCAUUUAAAGUGUCUGCUUGAAACAUUAUACACAUAUUUACACGUUUAUAUGCACACAAGCUACAUUCAGUAAUGCAAAUCAUCCU
rnacentral:lncRNA from 1 species